rnacentral:rRNA from 1 species
UCGGGAAUUUCGCUCAAUGGGCGCAAGCCUGAAGCAGCAACGCCGCGUGAGGGAUGAAGGCCUUCGGGUUGUAAACCUCUUUUCUUAGGGAAGAUUAUGACGGUACCUAAGGAAUAAGCCACGGCUAACUACGUGCCAGCAGCCGCGGUAAUACGUAGGUGGCAAGCGUUGUCCGGAUUUACUGGGCGUAAAGAGCGCGCAGGCGGUCAUAUAAGUCGAAUGUGAAAGCCCCCGGCUUAACUGGGGAGGGUCAUUCGAUACUGUUUGACUUGAAGGCAGGAGAGGGCAGCAGAAUUCCCGGUGUAGUGGUGAAAUGCGUAGAUAUCGGGAGGAAUACCAGUGGCGAAGGCGGCUGCCUGGCCUGUUCUUGACGCUGAGGCACGAAAGCGUGGGGAGCGAACAG